AGCAGCCGCGGUAAUUCCAGCUCCAAUAGCGUAUAUUAAAGUUGUUGCAGUUAAAAAGCUCGUAGUUGAAUUUCGGGAUCAAUUUAUUGGUCGUGCUAUUGUACGUACUGGUAUUAUUGAUUCCUACCUUCUGACGAACCAUGAUGUCAUUAAUUUGGUGUCUUGGGGAAUCAGGACUGUUACUUUGAAAAAAUUAGAGUGUUUAAAGCAGGCUCACGCUUGAAUACAUUAGCAUGGAAUAACGAAAUAGGACGUUUGAUUCUAUUUUGUUGGUUUCUAGGAUCGACGUAAUGAUUAAUAGGGAUAGUUGGGGGCAUUAGUAUUCAAUUGUCAGAGGUGAAAUUCUUGGAUUUAUUGAAGACUAACUACUGCGAAAGCAUUUGCCAAGGAUGUUUUCAUUAAUCAAGAACGAAAGUUAGGGGAUCGAAGACGAUCAGAUACCGUCGUAGUCUUAACCAUAAACUAUGCCGACUAGGGAUCGGAUGAUGUUAAUUUUUAAUGACUCAUUCGGCGCCUUAAC
rnacentral:rRNA from 1 species